rfam:Frankia sp. CcI3, complete genome.
GCAGCGCCGAGGGAUCGCCCUCGGCGAGGAUCACAAC